rnacentral:tRNA from 1 species
GGUCGGUUAGCUCAGUUGGUUAGAGCGUGGUGCUAAUAUCCUCCAUGAUAUACGGCACGCCAAGGUCGCGGGUUCGACCCCCGUACUGACCA